ACGUCGCCUCGUGGAGGACUUUACAGUGAUGCAAUCGCCGCCUCCUCGUAAUUCGCCGCCAAGAGAUCAGUGUCAAUGAACACAAACGUUUCACCUCAAUUCGUGAUCUCACAACAAUCAGUUCAUCUCGUCUGACGUCACAGGGAUAUAAUUAGCACAUUCCUAAAGCUUGAGAGAAACAGUGGAGAGCAGUGUUUCGCGCCAGGCGUGCGUGCGUGGCAGUAUUGCUGCUGGGACUUGGCCAAACCUCGGUUGCAAUAGGAAUUACCGUGAAUGUAUAGCCUCGCAUUGCUUCACGCAACACUCACUUCAUGGCCUCCAAUGAAUGGCAGACAGCGCCGCACUGCGCGGUCUGCGCAGUGUUCAUGGGUUGAUGGUAUUCAUCAACAAAAAAUAAAAGUUUCCUAAUACA